rnacentral:rRNA from 1 species
UACGUAGGAUGCAAGCGUUAUCCGGAAUGAUUGGGCGUAAAGCGUCCGCAGGUGGCAAUGUAAGUCUGCUGUCAAAGCGUCUGGCUCAACCAGAUAAAGGCAGUGGAAACUACAUAGCUAGAGUAAGGGAGGGGUAGAGGGAAUUCCUGGUGUAGCGGUGAAAUGCGUAGAGAUCAGGAAGAACACCGGUGGCGAAAGCGCUCUGCUGGACCUUAACUGACACUGAGGGACGAAAGCUAGGGGAGCGAAUGGG